rnacentral:rRNA from 1 species
GCAAAACGCGAAGAACCUUACCUAGGCUUGAACUCCUACGAACCUGUUGUAAUGGACGGGGUGCCCGCAAGGGAAUGUAGUGAGAGGUGCUGCAUGGCUGUCGUCAGCUCGUGUUGUGAAAUGUUGGGUUAAGUCUCGCAACGAGCGCAACCCCUAUCGUCUGUUGCCAGCAUUUAGUUGGGCACUCUGACGAGACUGCCUGGGUUAACCAGGAGGAAGGUGGGGAUGACGUCAAGUCCUCAUGGCCCUUAUGUCUAGGGCUACACACGUAAUACAAUGGCGCGUACAAUGGGAAGCGAACUAGUGAUAGGGAGCAAAUCUCAAAAAGCGCGCCUUAGUUCGGAUUGGAGUCUGCAACUUGACUCCAUGAAGUUGGAAUCGCUAGUAAUCGGAGAUCAGCACGCUCCGGUGAAUACGUUCCCGGGUCUUGUACACACC